GGGGUUCCCGGGGAGAGAGCCCGGGGAGAGAGCCCCGGGGAGAGAGCCCCGGGGAGAGAGCCCCGGGGAGAGAGUGGGGCUCCCGGGGAGAGAGAGGAGAGAGUGGGGCCCGGGGAGAGAAGAGAGAAGGGAAAGCGCGAGAAGGGAGAGCGCGAAGAAGGGAGAACGCGAGAAGGGAGAGCGCGAAGGGAGAGCGCGAGAAGGGAGAGCGCGAGAGCGGCGGCCACAGAGAGCAUUAAACUCUCUUUUAUUAAAUUCUCUUUUAAUUUUUUGUCAAUUAAUUUAGCAAAACUUCGUAAUACUCUAAAUAAACAGAGACAAUAAAUCGCUAGUGAAUGAUGCAACUAUGCAUUAAAACUAUAUACUGAAA
rnacentral:lncRNA from 1 species